rnacentral:rRNA from 1 species
UUUAGCGUCAGUAGAGCAUCUGGUGAAUGCCUUGGUGUGCAAAGCCUAUGAAGGACGUUUGAAAAUCGAAAUUCGCGUGGAGCGUUGCUAGGAAGCGCGAGUCUCCGAAUGGGACAACCUGCUCGUGCUAGGUCACGAGCGUCUGUUUAGAUGGAAACGCGGAGAACUGAAACAUCUUAGUAUCCGCAGGAAAGGAAAUCAUUGAGAUUCCGUUAGUAGUGGUGAGCGAACGCGGAGGAGGCUGUGUUAAUUUUAGAGCGUUAAAGUGACAGUUUGGAACAACGGGCCGCAAAAGCUGGUGAAGAGCCCAGGGCUUUAAACGCUUUUUUGUUAACGGAAAGUAGGGCGGGACACGUGGAAUCCUGUUCGAAUAUGGGAGGACCACCUCCUAAGCCUAAAUACUAUUGCACAACCGAUAGCGAACUAGUACCGUGAGGGAAAGGUGAAAUUAGAGUCUGGAGAAGACAGUGAAAUAGAAUCUGAAACCGGAUGCUUACAAACAGUCGGAGAGCGUUUAUGCUUGACGACGUACCUUUUGUAUAAUGGGUCAACGAGUUAAUGUAGUAAGCACAGCUUAAGCCUUAAGGCGUAGGCGUAGCGAAAGCGAGUUUUAAAUGGGCGUUAAUAGUUUGCUGCAUUAGACCCGAAACCGAGUGAUCUAACCAUGAACAGGCUGAAUGCUGGGUAAUUCUAGCUGGAGGGCCGAACCCGUGUCUGUUGCAAAAGGCUGGGAUGAUUUGUGGUUAGGGGUGAAAGGCUAAUCAAACUCGGAGAUAGCUGGUUCUCUGCGAAAUCUAUUUAGGUAGAGUGCUGAGUGGACUGCUGUAGGGGUAGAGCUCUGGAUAGGUGAUGGGAGGUCACACUUUACUGAUCUUAACCAAACUGCGAAUACUACAGUAAGAUGCUUAGUAAACACACCGCGGGCGCUAACGUCCGCGGUGGAGAGGGAAACAACCCAGACUUGAAGCUAAGGUCCUUAAAUCGUGGCUAAAUGUGAAAGGUUGUGAACACUCUUUUACAAUCAGGAUGUAGGCUUAGAAGCUGCCAUCAUUUAAAGAAAGCGUAACAGCUCACUGAUCUAUGAGCGUUUGCACCGAAAAUGUAUCGGGACUAAGUCGCGUACCGAAGCUCAGGGUGUUACCGAUAUUGGUAACACGGUAGCAGAGCGUUCCGUGUGCUUGUGAAGGCGGUUGGUGAUGGUCGCUGGAGGCUUCGGAAGUGAGAAUGUUGAUAUGAGUAACGUAAAUGAAAGUGAAAAACUUUCACGCCGAAAGACUAAGGUUUCCUAUCGUAUAGAAGUUGAUCUUAAUAGGGUUAGCCGGCACCUAAGGUGAAGCAGAACUGCGUAGCCGAUGGAAAUCGCGUUAAUAUUCGUGAGCCGUUUUUAGGUGACUUGGUGGCGGUGUUGUAAAUUCUGAUUGGAUUGUUUUUUGCAGUAUCGUUGCCAACGGGAAACAGCCUAAAAGUUUUGGCCGUACUAAAACCGACACUGGUAGUCUAGUAGAGUAUACUGAGGCGUUGAGUGAAUUGUGCUGAAGGAACUCGGCAAAAUGCGCGCGUAACUUCGGGAAAAGCGUGGCCUGUUUAGGGUAACCUAAUUCCAGGCGUAAUAAAAAUGGGGGGAGCGACUGUUUAUCAAAAACACAGGACUCUGCAAAAUCGUGAGAUGAGGUAUAGGGUCUGACGCCUGCCCGGUGCUGGAAGGUUAACAUUGAACGUUGAUAGCGUUUGGUAUAAGCCUCAGUAAACGGCGGCCGUAACUAUAACGGUCCUAAGGUAGCGAAAUUCCUUGUCGGAUAAGUUCCGACCUGCACGAAUGGCGUAACGACUUCCCUACUGUCUCCAGCACAAGCUCAGUGAAAUUGAAUUCCCCGUGAAGAUGCGGGGUACCUGCGGUAAGACGGAAAGACCCCGUGCACCUUAACUAUAACUUUAUAUUGGCGCAAUCUGCGGUCUGUGUAGCGUAGAUGGGAGGCAAUAAGGAAUGUGCGCUAGCACAUUCGGAGUCGAUAAUGAAACACCAUUCUGGCAACAGAAAGUGCCUUACUGUAAUUUGGUAAACCAAAUUCAGGACAUUGUAUGGCGGGUAGUUUGACUGGGGCGGUCGCCUCCUAAAGAGUAACGGAGGCGUGCGAAGGUAAACUCAGAACGGUUGGAAACCGUUCGUAGAGCGUAAUGGUAUAAGUUUGCCUGACUGUGAGACGUACGUGUCAAGCAGAGACGAAAGUCGGUCAUAGUGAUCCGGUGGUUCCGAGUGGAAGGGCCAUCGCUCAACGGAUAAAAGGUACGCCGGGGAUAACAGGCUAAUAACUCCUGAGAGCUCUUAUCGACGGAGUUGUUUGGCACCUCGAUGUCGACUCAUCGCAUCCUGGGGCUGAAGAGGGUCCCAAGGGUAUGGCUGUUCGCCAUUUAAAGCGGUACGUGAGUUGGGUUCAGAACGUCGCGAGACAGUUCGGUCCCUAUCUACCGUGGGUGGAAGAGCGCUAACGAGGCCUGUCUUUAGUACGAGAGGACCGAGAUGGACGUACCUAUGGUAUAACCUGUUGUUUCGCCAGAAGCAUGGCAGGGUAGCUACGUACGGAAUGGAUAACCGCUGAAAGCAUCUAAGUGGGAAGCCAGCUCGAAGACUAGCGCUCUAAUUAGAGUCGUGAUAGAUUAUCACGUUGAUAGGCCAGAAGUGUACAUGUGGUAACGCAUUCAGCUUACUGGUACUAAAUACUCGAAAGCUAAUUUUA